UCGCGUCCUAUCAGCUUGAUGGCGGGGUAACGGCCCACCAUGGCUUCGACGGGUAGCCGGCCUGAGAGGGCGACCGGCCACAUUGGGACUGAGAUACGGCCCAGACUCCUACGGGAGGCAGCAGUGGGGAAUAUUGCACAAUGGGCGCAAGCCUGAUGCAGCGACGCCGCGUGAGGGAUGGAGGCCUUCGGGUUGUAAACCUCUUUUGUUAGGGAGCAAGGCAUUUUGUGUUGAGUGUACCUUUCGAAUAAGCACCGGCUAACUACGUGCCAGCAGCCGCGGUAAUACGUAGGGUGCAAGCGUUAUCCGGAAUUAUUGGGCGUAAAGGGCUCGUAGGCGGUUCGUCGCGUCCGGUGUGAAAGUCCAUCGCUUAACGGUGGAUCCGCGCCGGGUACGGGCGGGCUUGAGUGCGGUAGGGGAGACUGGAAUUCCCGGUGUAACGGUGGAAUG
rnacentral:rRNA from 1 species